rnacentral:rRNA from 1 species
UACGUAGGGUGCGAGCGUUGUUCGGAAUUACUGGGCGUAAAGGGCUCGUAGGCGGCCAACUAAGUCAGACGUGAAAUCCCUCGGCUUAACCGGGGAACUGCGUCUGAUACUGGAUGGCUUGAGUUUGGGAGAGGGAUGCGGAAUUCCAGGUGUAGCGGUGAAAUGCGUAGAUAUCUGGAGGAACACCGGUGGCGAAGGCGGCAUCCUGGACCAACACUGACGCUGAGGAGCGAAAGCCAGGGGAGCAAACGGG